rnacentral:lncRNA from 1 species
CAUGCUGACCCUCUUAUAACAGAAUAAUACUAUGAAAGUGAAAAAGUUCUUUGAGCUUCUCAGGAAAGGGUCAUAAACUUCAUUUAUGGGUGAUCAUUUUUAGCAUGAUGCCAUGGUUUUUAAGCCAUUGUUUGCUAGCAGAUUUUGUGCACUGAUUAGAAGUAUGGCCCCUUUCUCCUGAUUCUUAGAAUUUAUCAACUUGCAGUGUCUUAUUUUCACUGGAGGAAACUGAGUGUUUCUUUCUUUGCUUCAGAUGGUCACAUCUUUAGAUCCUGAAGCAAGAGCUGCAGCCCAUCUCAGGAGUCCAAAUGCAGCGACAGAUUUUGCCUCUAAGCAAUCUGCCCCUGAACUGCCCUCGCUGCUGCUUUGGUAAAGGCUUGCAACGAAAGAGUAACAGCCACUGGCGAAUCCAGUUUGUGCAAGCAGCAUCAGCAAUGGAUGAGACCUCCCCUAGACUGGAAGAAGACUGGAAAAAAGGACUUCAGCGAGAAGCGAGCUGGCAGGUAAGUGAUGUCCUCAGCUCCAGACAGCCACAGAUCACUCUCUCAUCUCUUUCAGCCCAAGUCUGGGUAAUUCACAUCAGUCUGUUGGCACAAAUGUGUUGUCUCUAGGCAUAUCUUUUUGGGAAAAUCAUCAUUAGUUUCCAUUUCUUUGUAAACCAUGCAAAUAAUAUUCCAAAUGAAUUUCCUCUAGAUUCUUGAGCAAGCUAAUAGAGUUUUACAAAUCUAUAGAUGUUGCUAAAUUUAUACUUUCUUAAUAAAGGCCCUUGAAUUAACAAGUUGCAG